CUCAGCUAAGAUUCCCAGCAACAGUGGAAAGGGUGUCUGAACUGGCCUUUCCUUAUAAUCAGCUGUCUUCAAAUAAAAGUGUUCAAGUGUGAAAAGAUCCAGAAAGAGUCCACCCUGCACCUGGUCCUCCACCUCAGGGGUGGCAUGCAGAUCUUCGUGA
rnacentral:lncRNA from 1 species